AUUUUGGGCUGUUUUUCAAAAACAUCGUUUUUGAAAAAAAUAACUCCUGCUCGGUGAAAAGUUUAAACAGCCGUUGUGCUAAGGUAGCAUAGUGAUUAGCUUUAUAAAUGAAAGAUAGAAUGAAAGGAGAUUCCAAAAAUAAUUAUUUUAAUAAAAACUUUAAGUUUUUUUUCUGUGAAAAUACAGAAAUAAUUUUUUUAGACGAUAAGACCCUAUGAAGCUUUACUAAUUUUUAGUUUUUUUGGGGCAAAAUAUAAUAAUGGUAUUAUUGUUAAGUGAUAAUCUGAUCUUAAAGAAUUAAAAGAAAAAGCUACUCUAGGGAUAACAGCAUAAUUUUUGUUAGAGUUCUUAUUGAAACAAAAGUUUGUGACCUCGAUGUUGAAUUAAGAAAAUUAAUUUGUGCAGAAGCUAAUUAAUUUUAGUCUGUUCGACUAUUUUUUCUUACAUGAUUUGAGUUUAGAUCGACGUAAGUCAGAUUGGUUUCUAUCUAAAAAUUGUUAUAAGAUUUUUAGUACGAAAGGAAUAAA
rnacentral:rRNA from 1 species